AACGAACGCUGGCGGCAUGCCUAACACAUGCAAGUCGAACGAGACCUUCGGGUCUAGUGGCGCACGGGUGCGUAACGCGUGGGAACCUGCCCUUAGGUUCGGAAUAACUCCCCGAAAGGGGUGCUAAUACCGGAUAAUGUCUUCGGACCAAAGAUUUAUCGCCUUUGGAUGGGCCCGCGUUGGAUUAGCUAGUUGGUAGGGUAAAAGCCUACCAAGGCGACGAUCCAUAGCUGGUCUGAGAGGAUGAUCAGCCACACUGGGACUGAGACACGGCCCAGACUCCUACGGGAGGCAGCAGUGGGGAAUAUUGGACAAUGGGCGAAAGCCUGAUCCAGCAAUGCCGCGUGAGUGAUGAAGGCCUUAGGGUUGUAAAGCUCUUUUACCCGGGAUGAUAUUGACAGUACCGGGAGAAUAAGCUCCGGCUAACUCCGU
rnacentral:rRNA from 1 species